rnacentral:rRNA from 1 species
UACGUAGGGUGCGAGCGUUGUCCGGAAUUAUUGGGCGUAAAGAGCUUGUAGGCGGUUUGUCGCGUCUGCCGUGAAAAUUCGAGGCUCAACCUCGAACUUGCGGUGGGUACGGGCAGACUAGAGUGCGGAAGAGGCGAGUGGAAUUCCUGGUGUAGCGGUGAAAUGCGUAGAUAUCGGGAGGAACACCAGUGGCGAAGGCGGCUUCCUGGCCUGUUCUUGACGCUGAGGCGCGAAAGCUAGGGGAGCAAACGGG